rnacentral:rRNA from 1 species
AUAGCGUAUAUUAAAGUUGUUGCAGUUAAAAAGCUCGUAGUUGAACCUUGGGCCUGGCUGGCCGGUCCGUCUCAUCGCGUGUACUGGUCCGGCUGGGCCUUUCCUUCUGGCUAGGCACAUGCCCUUUACUGGGUGUGUGUCCGAACCAGGACUUUUACUUUGAAAAAAUUAGAGUGUUCAAAGCAGGCAUAUGCUCGAAUACAUUAGCAUGGAAUAAUAGAAUAGGACGUGUGGUUCUAUUUUGUUGGUUUCUAGGACCGAAGUAAUGAUUAAUAGGGAUAGUUGGGGGCAUUAGUAUUUAAUUGUCAGAGGUGAAAUUCUUGGAUUUAUGAAAGACUAACUUCUG